rnacentral:rRNA from 1 species
AGAGUUUGAUCCUGGCUCAGAUUGAACGCUGGCGGCAUGCCUUACACAUGCAAGUCGAACGGUAACGCGGGGGCAACCCUGGCGACGAGUGGCGAACGGGUGAGUAAUACAUCGGAACAUAUCCAGUAGCGGGGGAUAACCUAUCGAAAGAUUGGCUAAUACCGCAUACGAUCUACGGAUGAAAGCAGGGGACCGCAAGGCCUUGCACUAUUGGAGUGGCCGAUGUCAGAUUAGCUAGUUGGUGGGGUAAAAGCCUACCAAGGCGACGAUCUGUAGCUGGUCUGAGAGGACGAUCAGCCACACUGGAACUGAGACACGGUCCAGACUCCUACGGGAGGCAGCAGUGGGGAAUUUUGGACAAUGGGCGCAAGCCUGAUCCAGCCAUGCCGCGUGAGUGAAGAAGGCCUUCGGGUUGUAAAGCUCUUUCGGUGAAGACGAAACGGUUAGUGUUAAUAACACUGACUAAUGACGGUACUCACAGAAGAAGCACCGGCUAACUACGUGCCAGCCGCCGCGGUAAUACAAGGGCGAAUU